UACGUAGGGGGCAAGCGUUGUCCGGAAUCAUUGGGCGUAAAGAGCGUGUAGGCGGCCCGAUAAGUCCGCUGUGAAAGUCCAGGGCUCAACCCUGGAAUGCCAGUGGAAACUGUCGGGCUAGAGUCCGGAAGAGGCGAGUGGAAUUCCUGGUGUAGCGGUGAAAUGCGCAGAUAUCAGGAGGAACACCAAUGGCGAAGGCAGCUCGCUGGGACGUGACUGACGCUGAGACGCGAAAGCGUGGGGAGCAAACAGG
rnacentral:rRNA from 1 species